rnacentral:rRNA from 1 species
GACGAACGCUGGCGGCGUGCCUAAUACAUGCAAGUCGACCUUAGUGGCGGACGGGUGAGUAAUGCCUAGGAAUCUGCCUGGUCGGGGGGGAUAACGACCGGAAACGGGCGGUAAUACCGCCUACCAUCAGACGCUCCUGGGUGGGCUUAGCUAGGUGUUGGGGUAUGGGCCUACAAAGGCGACGAUCCGUCGCUGGUCUGAGAGGAUGAUCCGUCACACUGGAACUGAGACACGGCCCAGACUCCUACGGGAGGCAGUAGUGGGGAAUAUUGGACAAUGGGCGAAAGCCGGAUCGAGCCACGCCGCGUGUGUGAAGAAGGUCUUCGGAUUGUAAAGCACUUUAAGUUGAGAGGCGUUAUCAACAGAAUAAGCACCGGCUAACUUCGUGCCAGCAGCCGCGGUAAUUC